CAGAGUCGGCGUUCUGGAAGAAAAUCAUAGCCUAUCAGCAGAAGCUGCUGAACUAUUUUGCUCGCAACUUUUACAACAUGAGAAUGCUGGCCUUGUUUGUUGCCUUCGCUAUCAAUUUCAUCCUGCUCUUCUACAAGGUCUCCACUUCUUCUGUGGUUGAAGGAAAGGAGCUGCCUGCCCGAAGCUCCGGCGACACUGCCAAAGUGACCACCAGCCUGGACAGCAACCC